GAUUUUAUAGUUUAAAAAAAACAUUAAUUUUGUAAAUUAAAAUUUGAUUAUUUUUCAUUAAAUCU
rnacentral:tRNA from 1 species